rnacentral:lncRNA from 1 species
GCCUGACCUCAGGAGAAGGAUUGAGGAACCUAGUCCUCCCGCAGGCAGGAGGGGUAGAGCACCUUGGAACCAAACUCAGGAGUUUCUGGCUGGCUCCAAACAGAAGAGCCACAGUAGAGACGGGGUUUCACCAUGUUCGCCAGGAUGGACUCGAUUUCCUGACCUCGUGAUCCACCCACCUCGGCCUCCCAAAGUGAUGGGAUUGCAGGCGUGAGCCACCGUGCCCAGCCAAGGCCCAUAAAAGCCCUGGACUCAGCCAGACUUGAGAAGAUGAUGGGACAACCAGCUGCAGAGAGGAGCUACCCUCUCUGCUGAGAGCUGAAGAGACAACAUGAUGACCAGCUGCAGAGAGGAGCUACCGUCUCUCCUGAGAGCUGAACACUCAUUGGGACACCCUGGCUACAGAAAGGAGCUACCUAUUUCAGGUCUCCUCUAAGCUGUUCUGUCACUCAAUAAAGCUUCUCUUCAUCUUGCUCACCCUUCGCUUGUCUGCAUACCUCAUUCUUCCUGGAUGCAGGACAAGAACUUGGGACCUGCCAAAUGACAGGGCUAAAAGAGCUACAACACAAACAGGGCUGAAACAUGCCCCUUGCUCACCAUGUUGUACAUGA